rnacentral:misc_RNA from 1 species
AACGCACCUUGCGCCCCUUGGCAUUCCAAGGGGCAUGCCUGUUUGAGUGUCACGUAUCUCAUCGCCCGUCUCUCUCUCUCUUUUGGGAGUCUGUGGGUGGACUUGGGUGUUGCCGGCUCUCCGUCGGCUCGUCCUGAAAUGAAUUAGCCUAGACCUCCGGUCGCCUUCCUCGGUGUGAUAAAUAUCAAUGCCGCUCGGUUGAGGCUGGCCAGGUUGGCUCACAGAGUCGCGUCGUCGCCUCCCUUGAGGUGAUCGCUUCCUUUGAAAUUUGACCUCAAAUCAGGUAGGGUUACCCGCUGAACUUAA